AUUGAACGCUGGCGGCAUGCCUAACACAUGCAGGUCGAACGGCAGCACAAUAAAGAUUUCGGUCUUUAUGGGUGGCGAGUGGCGGACGGGUGAGUAACGCGUAGGAAUCUGUCCUGGAGAGUGGGAUAACCCGAGGAAACUCGGGCUAAUACUGCAUGACAUUGAGAGAUCAAAAGCAGGGGACCGAAAGGCCUUGCGCUCUGGGGUGAGCCUACGUCGGAUUAGCUAGUUGGUGGGGUAAAGGCCUACCAAGGCGACGAUCCGUAGCUGGUCUGAGAGGAUGACCAGCCACACUGGGACUGAGACACGGCCCAGACUCCUACGGGAGGCAGCAGUGGGGAAUCUUGGACAAUGGGGGAAACCCUGAUCCAGCGAUGCCGCGUGUGUGAAGAAGGCCUUCGGGUUGUAAAGCACUUUAGGUGGGGAAGAAAGGUAGCGAGUGAAUAACUUUCUGCUGUGACGGUACCCACAGAAUAAGCACCGGCUAACUCUGUGCCAGCCGCCGCGGUAA
rnacentral:rRNA from 1 species